AUUGAACGCUGGCGGCAGGCUUAACACAUGCAAGUCGAGCGGAGAUGAGGUGCUUGCACCUUAUCUUAGCGGCGGACGGGUGAGUAAUGCUUAGGAAUCUGCCUAUUAGUGGGGGACAACAUUCCGAAAGGAAUGCUAAUACCGCAUACGUCCUACGGGAGGAAGCAGGGGAUCUUCGGACCUUACGCUAAUAGAUGAGCCUAAGUCGGAUUAGCUAGUUGGUGGGGUAAAGGACUACCAAGGCGACGAUCUGUAGCGGGUCUGAGAGGAUGAUCCGCAACACUGGGACUGAGACACGGCCCAGACUCCUACGGGAGGCAGAAGUGGGGAAUAUUGGACAAUGGGGGGAACCCUGAUCCAGCCAUGCCGCGUGUGUAAAGAAGGCUUUAUGGUUGUAAAGCACUUUAAGCGAGGAGGAGGCUACUGAGACUAAUACUCUUGGAUAGUGGACGUUACUCGCAGAAUAAGCACCGGCUAACUCUGUGCCAGCCGCCGCCGUAACAC
rnacentral:rRNA from 1 species